AUUAUACUUCCUCCGUCCGAAAAUAUUUAUCAGAGGAAUUAAUGUAUCUAGACGUAUUUCAGUUUUAAAUACAUCCAUUUUUAUGUAUUUUUUCGACAAGUAUUUCCGGACGGAGGAAGUAUAAU
rfam:Triticum aestivum genome assembly, contig: Triticum_aestivum_CS42_TGACv1_scaffold_404504_5BL